GUGAAAUGUUUAGGACCACUUGA
rnacentral:ncRNA from 3 species